UAGGAAGUGGUGUAGCGGAAGCACUGAGAGUUUUGAUCUCCCCGGUUAGGGUUCAAAUCCCUAUUUCCUAU
rnacentral:tRNA from 1 species